rnacentral:RNase_P_RNA from 1 species
CGCACCGGUCAACUGCUGCUUUUUUAAUAAGUAGAGGAAAGUCCGUACUGACACUACCUGUGAUGGUAGUAGUGUUCAUGUUGGGCCCAAUAAGCCCAAGCCUAGACGACAAGUGCCACAGAGACGAGCUUAUUUUAAAUAAGGUGAAACGCGGUAAACUCCAUGAGUCAGAAACCCAAAUUUUGGUAGGGGAGCUCAAUAAUGGGAACCGAACCUAAUUUGAGAACUUAAUUAUUAAGUUAGAGAAAUAGUUGACACCAUGAUUACAUGGUACAGAAUACGGCUUAUAGGU